AAGAGAUUAGUCGUUACGUAAACGGAGGAGAAGCACAAGCAACCACUGUGAUCUCAAUCGACAUUUAUAUCGACGAGAUGAAGAAUGCGGAAUCGCGGUUGGACAAUCGACACUGCGGAACUGAGCUGCGACGUGCGUCGAACGCGAUGGACUUCACGACACUGAAAUCCCGCGUACCUCACACACGUUACUCUCGUAAGUUAUUUUCCAUGGGGUUUAGAUGGACCGACGGACACACCACGGUCAUUGUCGUUUUUCGCGAUAUUCGCGACGGAUAAAAAGAUGCGCGAUCGCGGGAUGAACAAAGUACGACGUGCCCGACUGUCUCCCCGACGGGAUUGAGGUUACUUUUCGAGAAUGUAGAAGGGGGGAAGGGGGAAAGCGGCUCGCCGGUCACCACGGUACGAGUCUACUUUUCGGGAUAAUAGCGGCGGUAAAAAACGCAAGUGAGGCUCGCGGGCGUCGCUUUCGAGAUCUUGGUUAAUGCGUCGGCAGAACGAGGAACGCGAAAUCACCGUCGGACAAGCAACACUGCAGAAUUGAGCCGCGACAUCGCGGACUGACGAACGCAUCAAGGUCAUCGCAGUUGCCCUGCGAUCGCGAAAUAAGCAAUGUGACGUCCAUCGGCGAUGAGACUGACAUGAUUAUGGAAUAUUUGGAAAGAAUGGGAAGAGAGAAAACGGCCUUCUCGGUGCGAGCGAAUUUUUCGAGAGAGAGAGAGAGAGAGAGAGGGACGAGGAACAGUCGCGAAACAAGUGCACUUCACACACGAUGUCUCUCACGGUCGUUUCUCAGAAAUACGAAGAAAUGUUUGUCGGAUAUUUGGAAAAGACGAAUCGGAGCGAUCGACUUUUAGUGGUAACACAAUUCACUGCAAGUUCCAGAAAGAAAAAGCCACUGAUCCCCGGCGGAACACACUGGUCAAAACACUGGCAACUGUGAAUACAACACGCAUUCGUGUCACCGCGGUGAGACUGACAGUCAUUUCCAAAGGCCAAGAGGUGACGAUGCACAUGCAUUGCGCGAGUGAUGAUAGUGGGAAUAUAAUCAAAGACACAGGAGCUACAACAGAAGGAAGGAAAGGAACACCGGAAGCAGAGAGAAAGAGGCCAAUAAUGACGCAUCGACCGCAGAGAGAAGGAGGCCAAUGAUGAUGCAUCAACCAGUGAAUGAGUUACUUGUAUUGGGAUUAUUAUCGUAGCUUUUAGUGACUGUAAUUUGAUCAGCAGAGAGAAAAAGGCCAAUGAUGACUAUAUGUUGCAGCAGAGAGAAAGAGACCAAUGAUGAUGCAUCGACCGGGCACGCGUAUUCACGCGUAGAUGAAGACGUCACUUACACCCUCGAGACUUUUGGCAGUCCCGCGAGGAAUUCCACUAGGCGCUGCAGAAAAUCCUUAAAAGCCGUAGUUGCCAAGUUUUAAAAUACAACGCCAGGCUAUGGGACGACGCGUUGUCCUCUUCUUCGUAAGAUCAAAGUGACACGUAAUCAAUCAAGCACGUAACUAUUAAAGAACAAUACGGAAUUUUGUAGAAAAAACGCGGAAUGAAAUAUGUUACUUUAUUAUUUAAUAAUAAAAUAUAAAAAGAUACAAUCUACAUGAAAGAAUUAAAAUGGUUUUUUUCUGUAACCUAAUAUCAUAAAUCACAAAUUUUUUAAAAAUAAUAUCUGACGAGAAUUGCAGAAUCAAUGAAAAUUCAAUUCAAUUUUGUAAAAAUUAUUCGACCGUAAAUUGAUUGGUAUGCAAACUAAUAACUUAAAAAUUAGUCUGAAAUAUAGUUUCAAAGGAGAAUGUCUAUUAGUAUCGUCUUUGACACUAUCUAAUUAAUUAUUGGCUUUUUAGAUUGAAGAAAAUGGGAAAUGUAAAUUAUGUGAAGUAACGUAAAUGAAUGUUGUUGGAAAUAGCGCGUGCUUUUAAAACAACCUUCACAUCGCUCAACGGCUCGUAUUAUGCGGCCCGUCCGAGCGCGAGUCCGCUUCUGCAUAGGCUAUAAACUGCCCGUUUAGCGGACGUAUCAAUAUUGGCGCAAAAAUCGUUGAUGCAACGCGCGGGAUGGGCCUCCAUUAGAGCCGAUCGUUUCCCUCGUAUCCUGUCGGGCAUGCCGUUUUUCAGGCGAUCUACUGUGCGCGAGAGAGCACAAAGCAGAGGGGGUCCGUCUCGACACCGUUGUUUCGGUCGGCCGGAAUUGCGUGUUGGCAGCAGCAAAUGCGUUACGGUCUAUCAACUUUUAUCCGAAACGUGCCGUCCGCCACCGUGCCCGUAAGCCGUGGGGACCGCGCUGAACCGGAGGUGUUUUGGGCUCGUGCCCGGAUUUGCAUGAUAUGGUAAUUUUUCUCGAUACGCGACAGCAGUGUCACACGAGCGUCCACACGAUAUCUCUCUCUCUCUCUCUUUCUCUUUCUCUUUUUCUCUCUUUCUGCUUCUGUCUGUUCCUCUUCUCCGGUCCAUGCAACGUAUGGCGCAUACACGCUACUGUAUCACCGUGGACCCCGGAGGCGCAUCUAGACGCGACGAAUUUUAGAUCGAGAGAUAGAUCUUCGUAUGCGAGCCACGAAUAAUCCCGCAUGCUGCGAAAUUCAGAUGAGGAGAGAGAACGCUGCGAUUUGUAUCGCUCGCCGGUGUGUUUUGCAUCGCAGUUUGCGACGUACAAUUUCCCCCUUUGACAUGUUAACACGCCAUCGUUCUGUGGUUGAAAUCCCACGUUGUAGAAGGAAACAAGAAAUGUAAAAGUGCAAAUGACGACGAUUCCGUUUAUAUCGUCGGUACAUUAGUUUCUCGCGUAAUUUUACCGCGAAUUGAAAUUGAAUGUGAGCUGCUGUCUAUAUGCGCAUUUUAUGCGAUUUUAUUCAAUAUAUUAAUAAGAUAAAGUGCAAUAGUCUUUUAUUUUAAAUUUAUCAAUCUAAUGAAGAAUAUAAUUACAAUGUAAAAAAAAAAACAAUUUUAAUUAAAAUUCUCAAUCGCUUUUAUUUCUCCAAGAUUUUAGUUUAAUAUAAACCACCUAAUUUUCAUUUGUCUUCUUGUUGCAUAACUCAGAGAGAGAGAGAGAGAGAGAGAGAUACGCACCUCUUACAUAAAAAUACACGGCACAUAGAAUAAAUAGAAUUCUUUUCUGGGGCGGCGCGAAUUAUACAUCGUUUAAAGUGAGCUUUAUUAUUGUGUAUACAUCGUAUUUUAGAUUUUCGCCACUUUCGCGACUUCGCUUAUGUAAUCGAAAGCGUUAUUACUUACGGAAUAGCAACGCUAAUUCAGAAGUGUAGGCAGAACAAAUAAAUGGACUGAUUGCGUGUAUAUAGGUCUAGCUCAAUGAGCGAGCGUGGUGUUCUAAGCUUCGACGAACAUAUUGGGUCACGUAUUGGAACCGGCGCGAUCACUAUCGCGCGAAUAGACUAGCAGAAAUUGAAUUGCACUUGCGGAGACUCUAUACGUGCCAUUGAAUAGUGUGUAACUCGCCAUUACCGCGUCAAAUACGGGUAUACGCUAAAGGAAUGAUUUAAGUAAUUCAGAAACUCUGUCGGCCGCUUUACGUCUAAGGAGACGUCUCGUUGUUUGCAUUAAAUUUAGCGAGGCGUUUAAGGAGGGAAACUCCGUGAAUGAGAACGAUUUAAAUUACAUUUUAAUCUUACGUUUGAGAGAUAAACUUUUGAUACAAGAGAUCGCUCGCUAAUUUCUCGGUUGGCGAAUUUCUUUGUAAACGUUCCGUAAUUAUCUUUAACAUUUUAGCCGACAGCAUCGGUGCGUUGUAAUAUUUACGCAAAGAGAAACGCUUAUCGAUGUUUCAAAAAUAUGGAUAUAAUGAGUUCCUCUAAGUGAUUAAUCGAAUAAAUAUUUAUGCAUCGUGUAGGCAUAGCUGAGAUGCGCCGGAGCUUCGUAACUUGAAAGGAUGAAAUUAAGAUGCCGUCCUUUGAAUCGGUAGAGAUGCCGCGCCGAGAAAGAGAGCCGCGUCGUUUCCCAAAGAAACGAGCGGCGGAGCUUGUACGCCGAGAAAGAGUCAUCGGGGGUAGGUGGCGGGGGGAGGAGGAAGCGCAGCCGCGCGUUUGGCGUCAGACGCCGUAUUAAUUUUUCAGGGCGCAUCAGAGAUGCGAGCGAAAAUUAACCCGGUGCAUGCGCGAUCGACUCUCAAAGACGGCAAGGUAUUUCAUAUCGUGUGCAUAAAUGCGUAAGGCGACCUCUGUUACGAAACGCAGGGGGAGAUCAACGCGCGGUGGCGCCUGUUUACAAAUUCUUUUGAGAACACGGUCAGACUGAUUAUUCCGCACGAGGCGAAGAGAGAAAGAGAAAGAGAGAGAGAGAGAGAGAACUCGAAAGAAUAAAUCACGGUGGGGCGCGAGUGCGCGCACGGGCCCCGUAUAUUACGCGAAUAAUCACGAUUGAUCAUCGCGGGGCGGAAGAAAACUGCGGGAGAUGAUAUAUGAACGGCGAAACGUACGGCGCGCACGUGGUUUCAAUGAUUCCAUUUACGUGAACGAUAAUACGCCCUCAGUCUCUCCUCGUAUCGAGACUCCCUUUCUUCUUUCUCCUCUAUUUCUUUUUUCCUUUCCUUUUUCUCUUCCUCUCUCUCCCUCUCUCUCUCUCUCUCUCUUUUUACACCGCGCUUAGAACCGCGACUACGAAAGGGUGCUUUCACCCUCACUCGUACAGGAGGAUCUGACAAAUUAAAUUUCACGUGCCUCUACCUUCGCGUCGCGGAGAAAAAAAGACAAUUCUGUGAAAUUACUUAUGUCUUCUCAACUUCGGAAGAAGGGUAAUUUUGUCGGCGUGUGUUAUUCCGGUCACCACUGCCGUUCUACCUUUCCUUCUGAUUUGCUCCGACGCCUUGACGUCGCCUUGUGAACCAGGCAAUCUGCAGGGCUGGAGCGCAGAUGCCUUGGUAGAGUUCUGCAAAUGCGAAAGGGACGAAAAUAAUGUUAGCGGACGUCAUUCGGGACGAGAGAACAUUUGAAUUCGACGAGAUUCGUAGAAUCUCUUUCACGAUCUAUAUGUUAUCUAUCUCUUUUAUUUAUUUACAACACAGUGUUGCUACGAAGUAACAAAAAUAAUAAUAGGAAAAAACUGAAAAAAAGACUUUUGAGGAAGAUAAAUUAAUCCGAGUUAAAAGCGAGGGAGAGAAGUAAUUUUUAUUUCUUCGCGCACGCAAGAAAUUUUCUUAAGAUAGCCAUCUAAGCAUCUUUAAUAACCAUUUUUCAUUGAUUGCCAUAUUUGGAAUUUUGUAAUAAAUGUCUCGCUGUAAAAAAAUUUCAAGUAAUUAAAUUAAAUUCUUUUAUAAUAUAAUACACGAGAGGCAAAGACACAAAACUCAAUCAACGUUUAAAAGGCACAAUGUAAAAAGUGUAAAAAUAAAAAUAUAAGGUAUCAUUAAUUACUUGAGAGCAUCGUUUUUUAAUGUAACAUAAACGCUCAGAAAAUCUCAUAUUUGUUUUUCCUUUACGAGAGCACACAAGCUUAACGUAUUUAGUAUAAGGGACGAUGGUUUUCGUUUAUAAAACUUUUUAAUUCGGCCCUGGGCACAGGCUAGCUCUGUCAAGCGUAGCCACAUUCAGACAUCGUCACGGGGAGGGGGAAAACGGCGGCGGGUUGUCGGAAACAGCCGGUGGCAAUAAUGCGAGAUGGACGUGAUAGGGUGCGAUCGAUUUUCUCGAUCUCGGGGGAACGGACUUCUUAUUAUUCCGACUGAGGCCGAGGCACUCCCGAGGAAGCGUUGUUAUUCGAUUCCGGCCCGGCGUCGUCGCUCAUUCCCUCGAAUCCGCAGCCGCCGCCGCAGCCACUACCCACCUUUCGCCCCUUAUUUCCUUAGCCUACUUCGUGGCCGUAAAAAUCCAAUUCAUCCCGGGACGCCGCGCCGGACAGGAAUAAGAGUAUUCCGUGAACGUCGUCGUAGAGUUGUCGUCGCGGCACGUUCGUAACGGCAUAACAAACCGCCGCCGUCCGUCGAAUGGAGUUUACCGCCGGCGGGAGAAAUUCGGCAAUCGAGAAUCGUUGACGUCAAAAGAUAUCCGGCGAGUUCACUACACGGCUAUAAAUCUAUACAGUGUGCCACGGUAAAUCGUGGCACAAUCGGUGAGGAAGCGCUUUCUUCGUGAAAGCAACUUAAAAAUCGCGAGAUAAAUUCUCUUUAUUGACUCGUAGAGAAAUUUUUCGAGAGAAACGGUGAUCUACUUAAAUGCUUUCGUUUGCGAAACCUUUAUACGUAAUCGAAGAAAAGCAAAUUGCAUCUUUUAAAAACUUUCAUAUCGAAAAUUAUAAAGACUUCAUUCGUUUGCACGCAUAAUCUCCUUUAACAAGGAGACCAAUCUGUCUCGGUCUGUCUUAUUAUUGGUGCAGCGAAGAGCCAUUAUCGCGUUUCAAAAUCAUCGUUAUUUAGAAACGAUGCGGCCUGGCGGAGGGGAGAAGAAGUUUCACGGUUCACCGGCUAAAAGUGCCCUCACAAAAAGACCAUUAUAAAUUCCAUUAAUACUUGCCGGGCAUUCGGGCCAAGCCGGGAGUUUAAUUAUCUCUCGUGGGCAGCCUUCUCUCCGUCCGCGUGGCGCGGUAAUAAGUAAAAGGGGACGGGUACCGCUGAAUUAAGUAAGACUCGAUAAAGCGAUCGUCAAGAAUUAACAGGUCAGCUCGCGUUCCCUCGGUAGAGGUUACUUUUCAAUUUACGACAUGCAUUACCGCAGCUUUUUCGACACCGCCAUACGUUAACUUAACUGUAGGUUAUAUAUCAGACGCGAUUCUUUAACUUUUACGGGGAAGAUGUACGAUCGUCAGCAUUUAAUCUUGGUAGCGUUGGAACGGAUGCUUGGUGGUACCAAUCAGCUUAAUUAACUGUAACCAAUCGAUUUAAUUGACUGUUGAUUAUUACUUAACACGCCGCAUUUUUCGAUUAAUCAAAUUUUAUGUAUUUACUUUUCUUUCCAAUGUUGUUCUAUUUUCGCGGUUUUCGUGUUGUUUAAUGUCUUUUAAUAUUAUGUUAAUCCUUCGCAGACCAAUCGAACUCGUUUCAAACUCAAUUUUUUCUAUUUUGCCGAUCUGCUUCAAUUUUAAACAUGUGUAGAAAAAAGUAUAAGAAACAUUUCGGUUCAUAUCGUAUUCAUAAAUGUUAAAAGUUUUUUUUCAGAAUUUUUUUCAGUUUUUUUUACACCCCAAAAACCCUUUGAAAAGUGUAACUGUUUACUAGUGACCCAGUUUGAUUAAGCAGUGAAAAACAGUUGGUCUGCAGGGGAUAUUAAUAUAUACGAAUCAUUCAUAGUCAAUUUGUGAUAUUUAAUACACUUGAAACAACAUCAUUUAAAAUAGCGAGUGAAAAUUACUGUUAUUAUAAUCAUUAUCGAGCAUGCCGGUUGUAAUAGACGAACAAACAAUGUGCUAUAAAUGAAAAAUGUGAAGAGAUAGUUUCGACUUUCGUCUCGUCAGAAAUUCUUAAAAGCUCUUUUUAUUUAUUUAUCCAAAGAGUUUACCUUUCAAACGGUAUACAAAGUAUGCGAAAGAUAGAGAUAGAAAUAGAUAGAUAAAUCGAGAGAGAAAGAGAGAGAGAGAGAAGGAGCUGUGGAAAUAUGUUUAUAAAGUAAGAACUCUUUUUGCUUUACGACGGUGCGUAGCGGCGGCUGGCGAGGUAACGAUUUUCUUCCGUCGUGAAUAUACUUUAUUUUCUUAGGAUGCAGCCUGAUCAGAACAGAAGUUACCAACUACUUUAUUGUAAAGUUCCCGACUGGGAUAACGAUCGGUUAGUAACGCCUGGUCUCUCUUUUAUUACCGGAUUUAUAAAGUAGGAUGCUUACGUCAGCGGAAAUGCAACGACAAAGAAGCUUCGCGAUGUACAUUUUCUGUCGAACCAAAUUUUUGUUCGCGAUCCUAUUAUAAUGAAAUUGAUAUUUUCGAGAAAUUACGCUGCAGCACAUAAAUCAAGCGCUCUCAAGAGUCAAACUGGAAAUUUCAUUAUUUUAAUUGAAGAUUGCAGUUAAUAUUCCUUUUAUGAAAUUUGCGUCAAGUUUAAUAGGUUAAUUUAAAUGAACGAAUUGUCAUGAGUGAUCGGAAUUCGGGAAUUUUCCGUUAAUAACCUAGAAGAGAUUUUAAGUAAAUACAUUGUUUCUAUUUUAUAUAUUAUAAAAUAUGCAUUACUCAGAAAUUAUAUAAAUUGAGAAUUUGUUACACAAUGCAACGAUAUAUAAUCAAGAUAGAAACCUGCGAAACAUCCAAUUUUUACACAUGCUCAGAACAAGAGAUCACAAAGUUCUCUUUCUCAAGAGCGUUUUAUGAGAGUUCUACUAGUUCUUUGGGAGAUUCGAUCACAAUGGGGUGCCAUUAUCAACAUACUUCAAAGGCCAAUCGAGACUUUGGCUUAUCGCCUAUUAUCAGCUUAACUCGUUUCCAUUUAACUUUCGUAACACCAGGUCGUUCCGUUUUUCAACUAAUCUACAUGCGGCUCAUAAACUCUAAUCCAGUUACAGAUAUAAAAAAUUUUCCAAAGUUUGAUUUUUUAAUUAGCUAUUUUUGUUAAAAAAAUAAUGCUAUAACUAUAUUUCUGUUUCUCUUAUUAUUUUUAUGAUUUUCAAUCUACUGAUUUUCAAAUAUACAAAAAAUAUCUAACCAUAUAUAUGUAACACAAUUAAAUGUAUUUUUAUUAAUAAUUAAAUGAUAAUUAAUUUGCUACAUGUAAUUAAGAAACUAGCAACUACUGUGAUUGUCCAAUUAUAUUUUAUUUGUGUACUGUUUGCAAUUUACGAAUAGUGCACAAUUUCAAUGAUACAUAUUAUAUGCUUUAUUAAAUUCAGCUAAAGAUUCAAUUCUUAUCGCACAAUUACUCGUUUGCAUAUGUCACCUCUUUGUUCACCUCGAAUUAUUUCUGGUGUCGAAUGACGUUUCAAUUAUAGCAGUCUCCGGCGCGCCGACUGUGUUUUCAAUGGAAUGAAAAGUAAAAUCGCGGGAAUGGGAGCGGGAUUGAGUUUAUAAAUCCCGCGAUGCUAUCUCAUUGCGAGGCGUGCAUACACUCCACAUUUCCACUGUUCUCGCAACUCCCCAGCGCGAGAGGAUUAAAUCCGCGGGAUGUUUGGCAACGCAACCCGUCCGCUCAUCCCAUAAAACACUUUUAUCCAAUACGUAUCCAAGAUUUCCAUAAAUUUGCGCGGUCCUCCGGCGCGUCCGCGAUAAAGCAUCGUACCCCGGGCGGAAAUGCGCCAUGAAAAUAUUCCGCGGUAACAUCUCGGGGCUGCAUCACGCAUGGCCGACUCGCGGAGUUCUAACGGAUUUUCUCUAUUUUUUUUUCCUUUUUGCGACAAAGAAGCUGCUACUUCCUUUGCCUUUCGACGUGACACGGUUCGUUUAUUCGAAAGCAAAGGAUCGCUCACAUUAGUCAUGAAUCCCCCUCCCCCUCUCUUUCCUCCUUUUGAGAAAAGAAAGGCUGUUCCUCUCGAUCAUGUGCGGUCGGCCGUAAUAAAACUUUCGGAGACCCGGUAAUAAAAAAACUGGCCGGAGGAAACGACUGUAAUGGACAAAGGAUCAAGGAUGGAUUAUUUGCGGAAAUGUUAAGUGAAACAGCCAGCCAGUUUGAGAAAAAUUGACAUAUUUGUUCUUAGCAAAUAUGAGAUACGUCGCGUUUAAUGAACUUUCUGUCACAGUGAUUCACUUAAAUCUUUUGAGACUUUUUAGGACUUUGAAAUAUCUCUAGGCAAGUAAUAUAAUAACGUACAGCUGGCUUUUGUCUGGAAUUCUUCCUGCACCGCUUUUGCGUUUGAAUUUUUUAAAAUAUACUUUUUGUGUUUAUUUUUAAAAACCUGAAUGAAAAGCAACACAAUGAAUUUCAUAUAUUGCAGCAUUUUAAUACAUUGUUAUAUAAAAAAAAAAAAAAAAAA
rnacentral:lncRNA from 1 species